rnacentral:lncRNA from 1 species
AGGAGAAGGAAAGAGGUGGAACAAUUUUGGUGUGCAAGUCAAAUUCAAAAAGAGAAAGGAAAGUCUAUCUAGAAGAUCUUUUUGAGAAGUUGAUUGCCACUAGGAAGUUGAAUUCUACAUGGAAAGGGAACAAAAGUGUCCAAAUUCAAUAAACCUAAAUUAGGGUUCAAAGUUAUUUUCCCUAUAAAUAGGCCUCUUGUUUUAGAGAGAAGGACAUCACUUGUUAUUUUAUUUUUCUUAGUUUUUCACUAGUGUAGAAGGGAGAAGAUAUUUAGAGUUUGUCUCUCUUAUUCCAAUCACGUGUGGAACUACUGCC